rnacentral:rRNA from 1 species
CGGACGGGUGAGUAAUGCAUCGGAACGUGUCCUAAAGUGGGGGAUAACGCAUCGAAAGAUGUGCUAAUACCGCAUAUUCUCUGAGGAGGAAAGUAGGGGAUCGAAAGACCUUAUGCUUUUGGAGCGGCCGAUGUCUGAUUAGCUAGUUGGUAGGGUAAUGGCUUACCAAGGCGACGAUCAGUAGUUGGUCUGAGAGGACGACCAGCCACACUGGGACUGAGACACGGCCCAGACUCCUACGGGAGGCAGCAGUGGGGAAUUUUGGACAAUGGGCGCAAGCCUGAUCCAGCAAUGCCGCGUGAGUGAAGAAGGCCUUCGGGUUGUAAAGCUCUUUCAGUUGAAAAGAAAAAGCCGUGACUAAUAAUCAUGGUUCAUGACGGUAUCAACAGAAGAAGCACCGGCUAACUACGUGCCAGCAGCCGCGGUAAUACGUAGGGUGCAAGCGUUAAUCGGAAUUACUGGGCGUAAAGGGUGCGCAGGCGGUUCUGUAAGUCAGAUGUGAAAUCCCCGGGCUUAACCUGGGAACUGCGUUUGAAACUGCAGAGCUAGAGUGCGGCAAAGGGAGGUGGAAUUCCAUGUGUAGCAGUGAAAUGCGUAGAGAUAUGGAAGAACAUCGAUGGCGAAGGCAACCUCCUGGGCUAGCACUGACGCUCAUGCACGAAAGCGUGGGGAGCAAACAGGAUUAGAUACCCUGGUAGUCCACGCCCUAAACUAUGUCAACUAGUUGUCGGGCCUUAAUAGGCUUGGUAACGUAGCUAACGCGUGAA